GUUUGAACACCACGUUUUUGUGGGUUGGCUUCUCGUUGAUUGCCUCUUUUACGCACGCUUCCCACACUCACCCAGUCCAUUCUGUGUAAAGCUCCACUACUCUUCUUAGCCAAGCCGAGUUUUUGCGUGCUAGUAAUUUUAAAUGCUCAAAAAUAACAGCAUGCCUGCUGGCAGGGAGACUUUAACGUGAUGUAAGACAGCCAGCAGAGCGUUCAGUCAGAGAAGGGCCUGUUCUUGGAUGUAGCCUGUAGUCUUGCUGUCAAGUUCUGUUAAUUUAAUUAAAGAGAGACCAUGAGAAUACAGAGAAAUAGGGGAACAAGUCCAUGUAACCGACUUACAUUAAAAGAGUAUGUGUUUUAUGCAGGUUGGGAACAGCUGGAGUCACACAUUUAUUUGUGGGUGGGGACUACAUAUCCCAUCGGCCGCUGCCCAAAUUCUUUGGGUUAGCAGCUCUCAGCAUGGCUUAGUUAUGUGCUGGCUUUUACCGCGUGAUAAGCGACUAUUUGGAAAUGCAAAGAAGCGUGAGAAACUAGUGCGCGGCUGCAUUGCAAACCGCUGAAUCGCGCUACAGUCGAACAAGGCAACGCAAAGAACAUACUGGACUACGCGAGGACAUUUCAUCCACAUCUGGAUUUAUUCUGUUUAAGUGGAUUUUAUAAAUGAAGCCGUUUUCGCAGUUGUGUGCUCUUUAGUUCAUUGACUAUUGGAUCUCAUGGGAUAGCCUAUCGCUUGUCCCACGGUCAGAUGUGCGUGCGUUGUGGAGAGCUUUGUAUGGAGUUGUGUUCAGCUGAGGAUUAUUUUACCUGUGCGUGGGGGUUCUUCAUUUACAUUUUGACAUCCAUAUAUUUUUUACGCAUCAUGCUUAUGAAUAUUAUUAUCCCGUGUCAUAUCCAUAGGCUACAGUUGCCCAGGAGUUGGGCUUUCAGAACUCAUCACCAUCCGAUACACAGGUGGAUGUCACAUAACGGCCCUGUGCGUGAUGUAAGAAGAUUCUGGAUUUUUGGAUUGUAAAAUGUCACCUCUGGAUCAAAUGUAGCAAGAACAUAGUUUUGCAUUGGCCUGACAGGGGGUCUCUGGUCUUCUCUCUAGCCAAGUGGAACUGUCCCUGGCCAGCACCCUGCAGCUGUUCUCCAUUCAGACACACAAGAAGUUAACCUCCUACUCCCUCUUAUCCCUCCUGCUUCCCCCCCAUCCCCCAGAAUGAAAGAGAAAGGAGAGGGGAGAAGUCAGUAAAUAUGUUUCUGAUCGAGAAGUGCGCGCCACAAAUGCCUUGGCGAGCCCGAAGACAACAGGGAAUCCCGGGUGUGAAGACAGGUGCCAAACGGUGACAACAUCUGAAAGGGAAUGUGUUUACUUCCAGAGGUGCGUAUGGGGUCACCGCCACCUCCUCGGUGACAAACAAGCUGCCAUGGCGAUGGCAAGCAAACAGGGCAGGCCAGCCGUGAUUUCAUCAUUUGGCACCAUGAGAUGAAGAAAUGGGUGUGAGGACAUGAACCCCAUCCCUCCGACUGAGCUGGUAGCUGAGUGGGAUAGUGAGCGUGCGCCCCUCCAACCAGCGAGUUCUGAGGAGAGUCAGAUAGAACAUAUAGACUGAACGUACCGGUUGAAAGAGAGCGAAAAUGAGAAAGAGAGUGACUCACGCUCUCCUCCCUGCUCAUCCAUCCCAUCCGUCGCUCCAUCUGGUUUGUAUUUGUUUGGAUGUUUCUCCACCUCCAGCCUCUGGGUAGAACCGGCGCCAAGGCCCAGAUGGCUGCCGACCCAGCCGCACCAGCCCACCGCGGAGAGGGUACACUGGGUUGGAGAAUGCCUGGGCCUGACUCUUGGCUGGGGUAUGGAUGGUGGGCUAUGGUGGGGAAGGGAAGGGCGGACUUGGCUGGUGAUGGGACUCGGAUGGACCGCACUCCGGCGACGACGCGAACAUCCAUCGAUCAUCCGUCGCAUUGGUUGACAGUUUAUCCCCUCUGCGCUGAGGACGGGAACCCAGUGGGUGUUGAAGGGCGCAUUGCGGCGUCCUCAGUUGACAGUCAGAGACGUCAGAGAGGACGUCACGCAGUGGGCUGGCCGGUGCCAGGACUGAGAGACUGGCCAGACGUCUGUGAGAUCAGUUUCUGAGACUGGCGUCUCAUAGGACUGGCGCGUAGCAUCAGUACCAGACUGCUAGACUCAGCAUGUCAGCUGGGAUGGGAAACUAUUUUACGCUCGAAAUCUGAAUACCAUGUCUAAAUGUAGAGGUUUUGAGUUAUAUGUUUUUUUAAAUUAUUAUUAUUAUUAUUUGACCUUUAUUUAACCAGGGAAGACAUAUACAGUACAAAUAUAAGCAUUAUACACAAUAUAUACAUAUAAACGCAUUAUAUCAUGCUGUAUGGAGAACAUGAUUUGUCUUUGCAGUCCCAGCCUUAUGGCCUUUGUUUUGUUUAUUCCUCGUCUUGUCUAAAUAAAAGAGGCCUAAGCAGAA